GUGAUCCUCUCAGCCUCAAUCUCGAAUUCAAUACUCUCUUCGAUCGAUCUAUUUGUAGCUCAAUCUUAAGAGUGGGAGGCAUCUAUUGUAGAUCUGUACCUUAACCUUCGUCUAAACAAUCUCAUCACCAUCAAGUAAGUUAUAGUUAAGCUACAGGAGAUGACAUUUGCUGGAUUGGAUAGAUACAGUGAUCGCCUAGUAUAAUUCAUUGGAUUAGCAGUAGAUCUUUUUCCUUAGUCUGAUCCUUUUUUUGCCUCGACGGAUGACCUACUUCAAGCCGAUCAACUUCAAAUAGCAAGAUCCUACAUUCCUCGGCUUUGGCAACCUACUAGGUCGGUUGUUGCCGAGAAAGACCUAUUAGGUCGAUCCUUAUUGAACUAUUACAUCUAUCUACAGGUUCUUUUUUUUUUCAAAUCUGGAAAGUCUAUAUAAAGUAGAACUCCUUUGUGAUCGAAUCUCUCGUAAAAAGAAAACUCCUCCUCAAAAUCUAUCUGUCCAACAAAUCCGAAAAUCAUCCGCAUUUCGAGUUGAAUAUGUCUCAAACUCCUCUUCUAUAAAUUAAAGGCUCCAGAACCCUCCAACGAUACACAAUCAAUUGACUUCUAACUCUUUUCUCUCAUCGUUUUUUAUCUUUUGACUUUAGUGUUGGAGAGUUUACACCCGAACCAACUCUCUGGUAUGGACUUAUUUUGUAGGUGUUCGAAUGAAGUUUCAACUGUGGAUCUGCAUCAGCCAUGACUAUUUUGACAUCCGAUCUUAGAUGGAGAGAACAACAGCAACACGCGCGUGUGCGCGUACACACAUACACACACACAUAUAUAUAUAUAUAUAAACAAAAAGCUUUAAAACUAAGCUAUCAUCUAAGAACUCGUUAAUUGUUGAUAAUUUUUUUUCGGAGCAUGGUAUUAGAGUGAUUCAAGUGAUUCAUGACAUUGGGAGCUUAGGAGCAUGGUAUUAGAGUGAUUCAAGUGAUUCAUGACAUUGGGAGCUUAGCAAUCUAGUCAUUGGUGUACCAAGCAUGAUGUUGGGUCCGACAAAAGCAUCAUCCUUAUCAGAGUUGUUGGUAAGGGUCCACAAGUCUAGUUUCUAAAAGGUAACCGGUGCUCUGUGUUAUUGUUAUCCUCGUCUAAAAGUCUUUAUAGGUUAAAGCUCAUACGGCUGGAAAUAGAUCAGAUGCAAAUAAGAGAGUAAUAUAUCUAUAUCUAUAUUUAAUUUAUUUAAUAAAUAAAAAUAUUUAUAUGAAUAAUCAUAUAUAAAAAUUUAUAUUUAAAUUUGAUUGAAAUAAAUAUAGAUAUAAAUUAAAUAUCAAAAUUAUGAAUAUAAAUAUAAAUAUAAACUGAAUGAUUAAAUUUUAUGAUCAUAAAAUUAAAAAUAUUACUAGAUGAAUAAUAAAUCAAAUUAAUAGUAUAUUAAUAUAAUCAUUUAUUUCUUUUAAAAAUUCAUGAAUGUUAUAUAAAAUUAAAUAAAAUUACAAAUAGAAUCAAAUAUUUGAUACGAAAUAGAUAAUAUCUAUCAAUAUUCAUAUCUAUUUUUUUUAAUAAAUAUGAAUACAAACACAGAUGUUAAUUAGAUACUUAAAUUUUUAUUUAUAUCUGAAUAAAUUUGGAUACAAAAAUAGAUCAAAAUAAAUAUUAUCUGAUUUAUUUUCACCUCUAAAAGUUCACCAUAUGGAUGGGCAGCAAGAAAACAAAUGCUUCCCUAUCUUGGAAGCUCCAUACUCUCUAAAUCUCUUAUUUUUAUUUUGACUAGGGCAUCUUGGAUCUGUAACCGAUAUCUUCUUGUCAUGUCAUAAGAUACAUAUUAUAUGUACAAUUUCAUUUAAUUUAACAGUAUCAAAGUAAUGAUAAUAGCUUAUUUGAGAUGUUUUUAUAAGAUUAGAAGUAACAUUGCAAUUUUUAAAAGAUUGAAAAUUUUAAAUAAUUUUAAAAUCAAAUCUUAAAAAUUAAUUUUAUAAUUAAAUAUUUUUAAUUAUCAAAAAAAAUAUUAUCAUGUAUCUUCUUAGCUUCUGUAAAAUAAAUAAAUAAAUAAAUAAAAACAUUCAGAUUGAAAAAUGA
rnacentral:lncRNA from 1 species